CGCGCCCGGGAGCGGCCGUUAGCGGCGGUAACGGCCGAGCAGGGGCGGCGCGCGGCGAUGGCGCGGCGCGCCGCGGCGGCGCUGCUGCUGCUGGAGGCGGCGGGGCUGGUGGGCGCCAUGCUGCUCUACCGCCGCAUGGACCGCAGUCAAGACUUCAGAUACACAAUGCAGAAGAGAUUUCCCUCAAUUCUGGAAGUUUAUUACAAAAGCAAUGAGUGGUCUGGAAUUCAUGGCAUAAGGGAGAAUGACCAAAUGACAUGGCUAAGCAGCAAGAAUUAAACCCUUUGUGCCUAAACUGUUUCUUCUUUUUUAUAAUACUUUUCACAUCCCUAUUGUGAAGCCACUUGUCACGCUCUACUUCCCACUGGAGCUGUUUGGCACCUGUAAGAGGAAAGAGGGAAGAUGAGAAAUAAGAAGCUGAUGGAUACUUCUGAUUGCUCUGAAGUGUCUAUCCUCCAACAAUUAUAAUAGAAUGUGGAUAAAUCAUGUAAAAGUUAAAACUACUGUAUUUAUAAAUGCCAAUAAAGUGAAAACUGCUUUGUUUUGACACUA